UAGUGUAGUGUAGUGUAGUGUAGUGUAGUGUAGUGUAAUGUAGUGUAGUGUAGUGUAGUGUAGUGUAAUGUAAUGUAGUGUAAUGUAGUGUAGUGUAGUGUAAUGUAGUGUAAUGUAGUGUAAUGUAGUGUAGUGUAGUGUAGUGUAGUGUAGUGUAGUGUAAUGUAGUGUAAUGUAGUGUAGUGUAAUGUAGUUGAAUGUAAUGUAGUGUAGUGUAGUGUAGGCCUCUGUUCUCAAAGUGUUGCUCUUUUUAUUUAUCAUUACUAAUGAUUCAAAAAUCAAUCACAGAAUUGAUUACUUUAUUUUAUGCGUUUAAAACUUUAAAAAGUGUCAUAGCAAAUAAU
ensembl:lncRNA